UACUCGAGUGGCGAACGGGUGAGUAACACGUGGGUGAUCUGCCCUGCACUUCGGGAUAAGCUUGGGAAACUGGGUCUAAUACCGGAUAGGAGCCAUCUUUAGUGUGGUGGUUGGAAAGUUCUUUCGGUGUAGGAUGAGCUCGCGGCCUAUCAGCUUGUUGGUGGGGUAAUGGCCUACCAAGGCGGCGACGGGUAGCCGGCCUGAGAGGGUGUACGGCCACAUUGGGACUGAGACACGGCCCAG
rnacentral:rRNA from 1 species